GGAGCCAGGGAUCAAGCGCUGGCAGCUCACAACAGGGGGGAGGGCACGAGUCAGGAGUGGCCACACCUCCAUCGGGGAGCGAAGAAACGGUCAGACGGAAGGUGGAAGGUUGGGCGCGCGCGCCAAGUUCAAAUGCACAGGAAGGUGGCACAGUAGGCAGCCCGGAAGGGAGCCAGGUCCUAAAGCCCGCCGAAAGGAGGGAGAAGAGUCAGGGGUCAGCGUCAGCGUCAGAGGAAUCCCGGAAAGAAGAGACCCCAGGGGGCAGAGGGACCCAGAGAAGAACAGUCAGGCGGAAAAGGUGGAGCAGGGCUAGUAUAUUAAGUUGGUUUACAAGGGCGGAGACUCAGACGGAGCUUCGCCGGUCUAACCAUGAGACGUAGAGUUGCACGCAGCAGUUUGAGAAUGGAAACUGUAACUCAAUAAAGACUUUUGUUUAAUGAUCGCUGGCUAGCGUGAUCCUCUGUGAGCUAGGAUCUGGAAGCAGCUCUGACAGUAAGCUCCGUCUCCAUAAAUUGUGGGCAUCUACAGCCUCGCGGAGAGGAGAGAAAGCGGGUGCCUACUAGCGAGCUCACGAAAGGCAGACAAUAUGACGGCCGAACAGCAGAUAGCGGAACUCAGAGAAGCAGUGUCACGACUGAAUGCCGAGGCUCUUGCAUCCAGGAAGAGAGAGGAGGACGCAGCUGCCGCCUACAGGGAUCUCCAGGUCAGGUUGGAAGUGCUUACGAAGCAAGGGCAACUGACACCCAAACCGGACGGGAUUGGGUUGGGGAGACGAACAGGCGGUCUGGUCUCUCACUUCGAUGGGAAUUUGCAACAGUACCCCAACUUUAGAGCAGAUGUAAUGUGUGCACUGCAACUGCUGGACAAAGACUUUAGAGAUGAGCAAGAGAAGGUGGGAUUCAUCAUGUCCCAUUUGCAUGGAGAUGCUAAAGCAUGGCUGCGCAAUUUGUGGAGAGAUAAGGAUCCGGCGCUCCAAAAUGCGGAUGCCUUUAUUAAAGCGAUGGAUGGGUGCUUUUUAUCAAGCAUUGACGUGGAUCUUGCUCGGCAGCAGAUACAUGGACUGAAGCAAGGGAGGGCCAGCGUAAGGCAGUACCAUGCCCGCUUUUUCGCUUUGGUCAGUGCUCUGGAAUGGGACAGAGAUUCGGCUCCUGUAAGAGACCUGUUUUGGGAGGGAUUGCACGGCUCGGUUAAAGAUGAAAUUGCGAGGGGAGAGACCCCGGACCACGCAGGAGAUCGUUCAGAGGGCGCUGGCGGUGGGGGUGCGGCUGGAAGAACGUCCGUGGAGCAGGGACGAAGGGCGUGGAGGGCGCGAACCAGCCAGGGGCUCCUCCUUCCUUCCCAGAGAAGCAGCGCGUGCGCAAUCCACGCCUCCGCCAGGAGGAGGAGCGGAACCUAUGGAGGUUGGAGGUGCAAGGGCUCAGUCAGCAGCCAGAGCCCUAGCACCGGCAGCAGUGAGAGCGAAGCCUCCUAGAGGGAACAGGAAGUGUUACAUCUGCGAUGCUCCACAGCAUAUGGCGAAAGAGUGUCCCCAGAGGCUCCACAAGCACACUGCAGCUUCAGCAAUGGUAACUGCAGCAACGCAGCAAGGAGAACCACAGCAGGGAAACGACGGAGUCUGGUUGGAGGAAGAGGCACUGGGGCCCAGCCAGACGUGUCAGUGAAGCAGUCCCCAGAGAUUUUACAGCCCAUGGACCCCCUCCCGCCCAAACCAGUAGUGAGGCUCACCGCGUCGCUCCAGCUGCCCAAUGGAAUCACCAUGGACGUGCCAAUCACCAUUGACUCCGGAAGCAAUGCGGACUUUAUAGGGCAGGACUUUGUCGACCGGCACGCUAUACAGUUGCUGCCUGCCACGCUGCCCCUGCAGGUUGUCACGGUGGAUGGCAGGGAGCUGCUAGGGGGGCAAGUGGUGAAGCAGACGCCACCAAUGGUGAUGCGGCUUGGGAAUCACAGGGAAAUCAUCAGCUUCAAUGUCACUCAACUAUCGGACACGCCCAUUGUAUUGGGCAUGAGUUGGCUGGACAAGCACAGCCCGACGCUGGCUUGGUACCAGAGGCAGCUGACCUUCGGCUCUUCCUUUUGCGCUGAACACUGCAUCGUGCCCCGGCAGGAAGGAGAGGAAGAGGAGUCACAGCUGCAGCUAGGCACGCUGCAAGCGGUUCCCCACAAGUACGCAGAAUUUUUGGAGGUUUUCUGCGAGAAGGAGGCAGACAGGCUACCCCCCCACAGACCAUAUGACUGCAAAAUUGACCUGCUGCCGGGCGGCGCUGCCCAAAGGGAAGCUGUAUUCCAUGUCUGAGGACGAACUGCAGGAACUCAAAGAGUUCAUAGAUCAUAAUUUGGAGCGCUGUUCAAAAUGCGAUAGUCCACUACAAGUCUUUUCUGGGGCAGUCCGGUAUUCUUUGUUAAGAAGCGGGACACGCCCCAGAAAAGACUUGUAGUGGACUAUCGCAUUUUGAACAGCGUGACCAAGCCAUCGGACUUCCCCAUGCCCCGAAUCGACGACCUCCUCGCAAAGGUACGGAAGGGCAGCGUGUUCACUAAGUUGGACCUGCGAGGGCGUACAACCUCAUUCGCAUGCGGGAAGGAGAUGAGUGGAAGACAGCCAUGUUCACGCCCCUGGGCACCUACGAAUAUAGAGUUAUGCCUUUUGGAUUGCAAAAUGGUUCCCACUUUUUCAAGCGUUCAUGCAUCACGUGUUGGCGGGGCUCCUCUACAAGACGUGCGUCUGUUUCUUGGAUGACAUCCUGAUCUUUUCGGAAUCGCAGCAGGAGCAUGACAGACACGUCAAGGAAGUGCUGAGCAGGCUACAGCAACAUAGGCUUUACGCCAAGCUGGAGAAGUGCCAAUUCGACGUGACGGAGGUGGAUUUCCUGGGCUACAAGUUGUCUGAUAAAGGGCUCGCCAUGGACAGCGCCAAGGUCCGAGCAGUGUUGGAUUGGAAAAGCCCACGCAACCGGAAGGAGGUCCAACGGUUUGUCGGCUUUGCGAACUUCUAUCGCAAGUUUAUCAAAGGCUUUGCCAUGCAGACAGCGGCCAUCACGGACACGCUCAGCUCCAAGAAAAGAAGUUCAUCUGGACAGAGCAGGCGGAGCAGUCCUUUCCAGGCACUCAAGCGUCUCUUCGCGUCGGAAGGGCAACUGCUUCAUGUCAACCCCAGCAAGCCGAUGAGGGUGGAGACAGACGCUUCGGACAGAGCCGUGGGAGCAGUCCUGCUGCAGAAGGACCCGCAGGGGGUUUGGAGGCCGGGAGCGUUUUACUCAAGGAAGCUCAGCAAGUCCGAACAGAACUACACCAUCUGGGACAGGGAGUUGCUGGCCAUUCAUGCAGCGUUCAAAGCGUGGAGGCACUUCCUGAUCGGCGCCAAGCACACGGUGCAGGUCUGCACGGACCACAAGAAUCUAGAGCACUGGCGCACGGCACAGUUCCUGAACCAGAGGCAGAUACGUUGGGCUGAGUUCUUUGCGAAUUUCGACUUCCGAAUAGAGUAUGUCCCGGGGGACACCAACAUCAUGGCGGAUGCUCUCUCCCGUAAGCCGCAGUAUCUGGAGGAGGCAACGCCAGCGGCCGCCAUGCACAUCUUCGCACCGACAGUGUGGGCGUGCACGGCGGCAACAGUUGACCUGGAGGCGGUGCGACGAGCGUUGCAGGAUGACUCCUUCGCGCAAGCAAAGAUGGCAGAGGCGCACAGGGGCACGGCAGCGACCGACGAGUUCCAGCUGCGAGAUGGUUUGCUCAUCCGUAAAGGGGCCAUCUACGUGCCGGGAGACGAACUUCGCGCCAAGGUACUGCAGCAGCUGCACGACGCGCCCACUGCCGGGCACUUUGGCAAGGAGAAGACGGUGGAAUUAGUAGCCAGAGACUUCUGGUGGCCAGGAAUGAGGGGAAGUCGCGGACUACGUGGCGAGGUGUGACACCUGCCAGAGGGCCAAACCAGUGCACAGACCGCCGGCCGGAUUGCUGGAACCGCUGCAAACUCCGUUCGAACCAUGGGAGAGAGUGGCCCUGGACUUUGUCACGGAUCUGCCCAGCUCGAGGGGCAAGACGGCUGUGCUGGUGGUGGUGGACUUGUUCUCCAAGAUGGCACAUUUCAUUCCGUGUGCGAAGGUGGCCACGGCGGAACAAACCGCCAAACUGUUCAUAGACCACGUGUUCAAGGUUCACGGUCUGCCGCGGUCUAUUCUGUCCGACCGAGGGCGACAGUUCAUCUCGAACUUCUGGCAGAGGCUGAUGGGCUUCCUGAACGUCAAGAUCAACCUGGCGUCGGCUAGACACCCGCAGACCAAUGGGCAAGCGGAGCGGAGUCAAUGCCAUCAUGCAGCAGUACCUGAGAUGUUAUGCGAAUCAACAGCCUGCGACGUGGGUGGAUUACCUGCCUCUCGCCGAGUUCGCCUACAACAACACGAAGCACGUGUCCACGGGGGUCACGCCGUUCUUCGCCAACAACGGGAGGCACCCCAGAACCUUCCCGGGACUGGAAAGAAUGGGGGAGGGGAGCCGCAGACAGCAGAUGCAUUCGCGUCGGAGUUGCAGGAGGUCCACGAUCAGCUGCGGCGGCACCUGGAGCUGGCUAAACACGCAUACAAGGUACAAGCGGACAAACACAGAAGGGUUGGCGAAGAGAUCCAUGUGGGAGACUGGGUCUGGUUAGCAGCCCACGCAGUGGCGGCCCGGUCGUUGGCGAAGAAGAAACUAGGGCAUAAACAACUGGGGCCCUACCAAGUCGAAGAACAGGUCAACCCGGUGGCUUUCAGGCUGGCUCUUCCGGAGGGUUCCAGGAUGCAUCCGGUGUUCCACAGAUCGGUGCUCACUCCAUACAAGGCACCUCACAGGUUUCAGGAACCAGGAACGGCACCGGGUCCGCUCCGAGAGAGAACCGGGCAGGGGGGAGUGGCACGGGAGGAGCGCAUCAACGAAGCCACGGAGAUUUUGGACUCCAGAUGGGGGAAGAGGGGGUAGAAUACCUUCUCGCCAAGGAGGGCACCCCGGCCAGUGCCAACAGCUGGGUGCCGGGCUACGCUUUAGACGAACCUCUGCUCAAAGAAGAGUUUCAUGCCCUCUUCCCACAUAGGCCAAUGCCAGCAGACUUUUUCGACGACUGGCUUUUCACGCCCACGCUUUCAGCCAGCACGUUCCGGGGUUCGACUCGGACGAGGAACCGACACGAGACGCCCGUUCCCCGGAGGAGUCACCCUCGGGAUCUGCUUCAGAACCCUCGUAUUGGUGGGAUGAUCGACCAGAGGAGCAGUUCCGCAGAAGGUGGCUGGAGGGUCCAGGACGAGCAACGUCUCCAGAAGGUAACGAGGGAGAGACGGACAUGGACGUUUUCGGGGACGACCCGGGUUUCGAGCACGGCGGCACAGAGAUGGAAGCGGAGGUGACCGUCGUCAACGAGAGCAGGGAGGAAGAACCGGAAGACUUCAGAUGGCGGCCCGCCACGGGAAGCGAACUGUAUCCGACAUUCGUCCCCUGACACGGCAGCACCCAGAUCCCGCACCGGAAGGAGGGGAGGGGGGAAGAGGGGGGGUCGCGGGGGGGGUGGAUGUCAGGGGUUCAGGAGCAGAGGCAAGGGCAAGGGAGGAAACAGAGAGCGAGGGGGAGGAGGCAGAAGAAAAGAUGAGUGAGGACGACGACCCGAGAUCUCCGAGUCUUUCCAGUGAAUCAGAAGAUUCACAGAAAGGAGCACCAGUGGCCAGGGCAAGGGGGGAGCCUAGGGGACGCCCCAGGAAGAUAGAGCCAGAGGGGACUCAGAGGGGAGCAGUUGGAAAUCGGGACCAGCGUCACCGCCAGAGAGCAGGGAAGAGGAAGGGAGCCAGGGAUCAAGCGCUGGCAGCUCACAACAGGGGGGAGGGCACGAGUCAGGAGUGGCCACACCUCCAUCGGGGAGCGAAGAAACGGUCAGACGGAAGGUGGAAGGUUGGACGCGCGCGCCAAGUUCAAAUGCACAGGAAAGUGGCACAGUAGGCAGCCCGGAAAGGGAGCCAGGUCCUAAAGCCCGCCGAAAGGAGGGAGAAGAGUCAGGGGUCAGCGUCAGCGUCAGAGGAAUCCCGGAAAGAAGAGACCCCAGGGGGCAGAGGGACCCAGAGAAGAACAGUCAGGCGGAAAAGGUGGAGCAGGGCUAGGAUAUUAAGUUGGUGUACAAGGGGCGGAGACUCAGACGGAGCUUCGCCGGUCUAACCAUGAGACGUAGAGUUGCACGCAGCAGUUUGAGAAUGGAAACUGUAACUCAAUAAAGACUUUUGUUUAAUGAU